UCCCCUAUGGUGUAACGGCUAGCAUACCUGGUUUUCACCCAGGAGACCUGGGUUCGAUUCCCGGUAGGGGAG
rfam:Monosiga brevicollis MX1 MONBRscaffold_15 genomic scaffold, whole genome shotgun sequence.